CAUAUAACGUUGAAAAGAUAAGUACUUGUCGGACUGAUUGGAUAGAGAGCUAAUGUGUGGUGAAAAUUAGUAUCAGAAUGAUUAGGAAAAUGGUCUUGGAGUUUAAUAAUGGUGUGAGCAUACGUAAUUGUAAAUGCCAUUCGGGUACACCCGUUACAGUGUCACAGUAUCGAAAAGAUUUUUCCGUACUUGGUAAGUGUGUAUUAGUAAUAAUAUGCAGAAAACGGGUGGUAACGCGAUAACUUCGUCCCGCAA
rnacentral:ncRNA from 1 species